GGGGGCGCACUGGUUUCGACCUGGAAAAUGCGCCGGAGGCGGCAUGCCGAGGACGAUGCGUUGGCCUCGUUAAUCAUCGCAUCAAACAAAACAGCUAACGAAGAAUUAGCUCUCGCGGCCUAAUGCGCCGCGACGUCCGCCGGUGGACACCUGCUACGCCGGACGGACGCCACAGCAGGCAUGGUUGACGGCGGGGACCGCGCGCCGUCGGCCGAGAAAAUUGCAUGCGGACUAGGCCUUGCGAUUCGAGUCCGGACGCCAUCGCACAGCAGAAAACCUUCUCUGGACUAAGCAUGUAGUCGCGGCCGGUUUGUUGGCCAGGGACGCGGGUUCAAUUCCCGCCGCCUCCACCA
rnacentral:tmRNA from 2 species